UUUCCGUAGGUGAACCUGCGGAAGGAUCAUUACAGAGUUCAUGCCCUCACGGGUAGAUCUCCCACCCUUGAAUAUUAUACCUUCGUUGCUUUGGCAGGCCGUGGAAACACCAGAGGCUCCGGCUGAUGCGUGCCUGCCAGAGGAAACAAACUCUGUUUUUAGUGAUGUCUGAGUACUAUAUAAUAGUUAAAACUUUCAACAACGGAUCUCUUGGUUCUGGCAUCGAGAAGAACGCAGC
rnacentral:misc_RNA from 1 species